rnacentral:tRNA from 1 species
GGGAACAUAGCUCCAAUUGGUAGAGCACUUGAUUGAAGAUCAAGGUGUUAUCGGUUCAAAUCCGAUUGUUCCCA